rnacentral:rRNA from 1 species
GACGAACGCUGGCGGCGUGCUUAACACAUGCAAGUCGAACGGAAAGGCCCUGCUUUUGUGGGGUGCUCGAGUGGCGAACGGGUGAGUAACACGUGAGUAACCUGCCCUUGACUUUGGGAUAACUUCAGGAAACUGGGGCUAAUACCGGAUAGGAGCUCCUGCUGCAUGGUGGGGGUUGGAAAGUUUCGGCGGUUGGGGAUGGACUCGCGGCUUAUCAGCUUGUUGGUGGGGUAGUGGCUUACCAAGGCUUUGACGGGUAGCCGGCCUGAGAGGGUGACCGGCCACUUGGGGACGGAGUUACGCCCCAGCCUCGUCCGGGGGGCAGAAGGGGGAAUUAUGGCACAAGGGGGGGAGCCUGGAUGCACAACCCCGGGGGGGGGAAGGGCGCCUUGGGGUUGUAAACCCGCUUUCGCCGGGGAGAAGGGGGGUGUGACGGUAGGGGAUAAAGAGGCCCGGCCUACCUCCGCC